UUGGUUGGUUGGUGCUUUUUUUUCUUUUCUUUUUUAUCUCUCGAAGUAACUAACUGGAAGAAUCUUCUUGUCUGAGAUGCAGAAUGAAUAUUCAAGUUAGCAGCAUCAGUAGUACCAUAACAAGAACACAGCAAAAAGCAUCAUCAUCAUCUCGAAAACCACCUUUCUGUUCCAGUAGAAAGCCCCAAGAUCCCAAAGAAAAUGGUGACACCAAUGGUGAUAAAUUCUCAACAGACUGGGACAAGGCGUGGUCUAACUUCAGGAAGAAAGGGAAAAAAGCAUUCUUCUCUCAGUUCUCUCCAAACAAGUACGUGACCUGGAAUCCUAAGCGCUCGAACUACCCACUGUCUGAAGAAGUUGAUCCCAUCAAGAGAGCAGAGAGGUCAAACCUCAGGUUAUGGACCAGCCCAGAGUUUACUCUAGUGGGGGCGAUUAUAAUUGUCACGUUUCUUUUGGUUUACACCAUUGUUGUACCAUCUAAGUGAUUCUACUUAAUUCCAGUUACUCUCGUAGAAAGCAGGUGCUGUGCUUUAAGGAUACGAGGGAGGGAGCAGACAGGAAAAUGAGUGUAAGGGAUGGAGAUAUAAAUCAUAACUUACCAUUCUUUGACAGUGCAAGCACACAGCCACAGCACCAGGGUUGACAGAUGACAAGCAAAUAUCACUGGAGAAGUCUGGGAUGAUGAAUUGAGAAGUUGGCCUUAUGUCAGAGGUCUUCUAUAUGUUAGCUCGAUGGAUCAUGACUUUCUCUUCGUCCGUUAUAAUGUCUGAGCGCUUCAGUUCGUGGAAGAAUAAAAUAAACCCUACAUUCAUCAAUAAGUUUGCCGCUAAUAUUGCAGUCAAUCUAACCCAGUGAGACUUGCCAUGGCUGCAUCCCACUAUACAUCCACUUCUUUGUGUUCCCUUCAUCAUAAGAACACUUCGUUGUGUCUGCUCUUCUACGUACAAGGACUUUUGGAGUCCUUUUCAAAGGGGACAAGAAAACUUAGAAGGUAACCAAUUAUAUACGAAAUUGAAGUCCUUACGUUGAAAUGGUAAAAAAAAAAAAAUUUAGACCCUGUAUGGUCAUAUGAUGCACAGAACUUGACUUCGUGGCUUUGUUUUGCUUAGUAAAGCCAUCAGAAUAGUGUUUACAAUGUUGGAUCUAUAGAGUUCUUCCUGGUCACCAUAUCAACAACAGGGGCAGAUCCGCAACCGUAACAGACAGAACAAUUUGGUGCAUGAAGAUGUCGGACUAUUUUACAUAAAAACCGACACAAUUUACAAACCCCGCAGGCAUGGCGACUAAAAGUCGCUUCAAAUUCUCUCUGACGUAAAAGCUAGAAUAUGUGCGUAUAUACCCCCAUCGAUCCCUCCUCUCUUAUCAGUAUCUCCGAAGUUUCUGCCUUUACUCGUUUAUUUUAUAUCACAGACCAAAUUUGUUCUUUCUGUGCCAAAUUGCUUGCUGAGUUCUCUCUCCAAAACUACAAAGUAGCUAGCUGUCAUAGUGUUAGGCGCGAGGGCGCGCCAACAUAAACAUUGCUGGAGUUACAGCACCAUGCAUAGUCAAUGACAGAUUCAACAGCAGUGUAUCGGUGUGUGCAAGCAACGGGUUCAUGUUUGGCAUGACUUCUGAUUUGAAUGGUAGGUUGUCCAAAGUAUGCAGCAACACAACAACACUGGCAGAAUGGGUUUUGGCAAGUUGGCUUAUGGUUUGAUUGGUUUAAGACCAAGGCAACUUGUUGCGGGUUAGGCAGUUUUCAGCAUUUAUUAGCAUUUGGUUGUCUUGGGUGAAGAUUGUCUAGAUUUGUUUUGGGAGAUAGUUUAUUUGUAGCUUUUGUAUUUUUUUAAUAAUAUAAAUAGGCCAAAGAGUUGUGUAGCAUGCAGAGAUAAUUGUGCAUUACACACAUAAAGACUUUUGUGUAUUCCUUUGUUAAAGAUUAAUAAAGGUUGGGAUUGUUUCUUAUAA